rnacentral:rRNA from 1 species
GUGGAGCAUGUGGUUUAAUUUGAUGCAACGCGAAGAACCUUACCAGGACUUGACAUACCAUAGACAUUUUUAUGAGAGUAAUUAUUUCCUUCGGGACUAUGGAUACAGGUGGUGCAUGGCUGUCGUCAGCUCGUGUCGUGAGAUGUUGGGUUAAGUCCCGUAACGAGCGCAACCCUUGUCCUUAGUUGCCAGCGCGUAAUGGCGGGAACUCUAAGGAGACUGCCGGUGACAAACCG